rnacentral:misc_RNA from 1 species
AUCGCCCCUAUCCAAUGAGGACCAGGAGCCCUUAUCCUGCGCCCACUCCAUUAUUCACAAACACUCUCCUCUCUUAUCCAUCACACUCCGACAAAAAAAAAAAAAAUCACCCCCCCAGGCGAGUUACGGCCGCCGGAACAGCCCAUCGACACUAUCUCCACCACGCCUGCCACUGCAACUACAGCGGUUGCACCCCCUGCCGAAAUCGAGAAAGCCGCCCCACCGCCACCUCCAGCCCCGAAACGGCAACGCCGGCCCAGCGUCCGUCUCGGUGAGAUCGGCGAACAAGCGACCACUUUCUCAUAUGAUACGCACGUUCGCCGCACCAAGCACCCCUGGCGAAUCCCUAAAGACUCUUCUAAGUCCGUCAAGGCCCGGUCUUUAACCAACCUCGUUAACGGCAAUGAUAGCUAUGAAAUCCAAGAAACAGAGGGAAAUGCUCAAAACGGUGAAGUAAAUCUUGACUUCGGGCACCGUAAGAAAGCAAAGAGAGCGACGACGAAGAGAGUGAGAUCGAAUUGGACAUCCAACGUCGAGGGAGGAGGAGCUGAGGGAGAUAGUCGAGAAGAUGGGGAUGAAGGGUUUAGGGAAUUUGAUCAGGACUCGGAUAGUCUGUUAAA